GACGAACGCUGGCGGCGUGCUUAACACAUGCAAGUCGAACGGAAAGGCCCUGCUUUUGUGGGGUGCUCGAGUGGCGAACGGGUGAGUAACACGUGAGUAACCUGCCCUUGACUUUGUGAUAACUUCAGGAAACUGGGGCUAAUACCGGAUAGGAGCUCCUGCUGCAUGGUGGGGGUUGGAAAGUUUCGGCGGUUGGGGAUGGACUCGCGGCUUAUCAGCUUGUUGGUGGGGUAGUGGCUUACCAAGGCUUUGACGGGUAGCCGGCCUGAGAGGGUGACCGGCCACCUUGGUACUGAGAUAGGGAGCAGACUCGAACGGGACGCAGCGGGGGGAAAUAUUGCGCAAUGGGCGGAAGCGUGAUGCAAAGACGCCGCGUGCGGGAUGACGGCCUUCGGGUUAAAAACCGCUUUCGCCUGUGACGAAGCGGGAGUGACGGUAAUGGGUAAAGAAGCACCGGCUAACUACGUG
rnacentral:rRNA from 1 species